GCCGGGGUGGCGGAACGGCAGACGCAGCGGACUCAAAAUCCGCCGGUGGCAACACCGUGAGGGUUCGAGUCCCUCUCCCGGCACCA
rnacentral:tRNA from 1 species